rnacentral:rRNA from 1 species
CCUACGCGUGGCUGCAGUGAGGAAUAUUGGUCAAUGGGCGCGAGCCUGAACCAGCCAAGUAGCGUGAAGGAUGAAUGCCCUACGGGUUGUAAACUUCUUUUAUAAAGGAAUAAAUUGCGGCACGUGUUCCUUUUUUUCUGUACUUUUUGAAUAAAGAUCGGCUCACUCCGUGCCAGCAGCCGCGGUAAUACGGAGGAUCCGAGCGUUAUCCGGAUUUAUUGGGUUUAAAGGGAGCGUAGAUGGGUUGUUACGUCAGUUGUGAAAGUUUGCGGCUCAACCGUAAAAUUGCAAUUGAUACUGGCAGUCUUGAGUACAGGAGAGGUAGGCGGAAUUCGUGGUGUAGCGGUGAAAUGCGUAGAUAUCACGAAGAACUCCGAUUGCGAAGGCAGCUUACUAAACUGUCACUGACAUUGAUGCUCGAAAGUGUGGGUAUCAAACAGGAUUAGAUACCCUGGUAGUC